AAGUCGUAACAAGGUUUCCGUAGGUGAACCUGCGGAAGGAUCAUUAAACGUUAUAUCACGGGGGGCCGGCCAACAAAGUUGAGGGGGGUUCCUACCUCCCAAAUCUCUGUGCCCGCUCCUGUCUGGCAUAUAUACCCAUGUCCUUUGCGUACAACAUGUUUUCCUUGGGGGGGCUUGCUCCCCACUCGGACAAAUCUACCACCUUUUUUGUAAUUGCAGUCUGCGUCAGAUAAUCAUAUAAUUAUUACAACUUUCAACAACGGAUCUCUUGGUUCUG
rnacentral:misc_RNA from 2 species